CUACGGGAUGCAGCAGUGGGGAAUAUUGCACAAUGGGGGGGACCCUGAUGCAGCAACGCCGCGUGGAGGAUGACGCAUUUCGGUGUGUAAACUCCUUUUAUAUGUCAAGAAAAUGACGGUAGCAUAUGAAUAAGCACCGGCUAACUCCGUGCCAGCAGCCGCGGUAAUACGGAGGGUGCAAGCGUUACUCGGAAUCACUGGGCGUAAAGGACGCGUAGGCGGGUUGGAAAGUCAGGUGUGAAAUCCUACAGCUUAACUGUAGAACUGCACUUGAAACUUCUAAUCUAGAGUAUGGGAGGGGGAGAUGGAAUUAGUGGUGUAGGGGUAAAAUCCGUAGAUAUCACUAGGAAUACCUAAAGCGAAGGCGAUCUCCUGGAACAUUACUGACGCUAAGACGUGAAAGCGUGGGGAGCAAACAGGAUUAGAUACCCUUGUAGUC
rnacentral:rRNA from 1 species